UACGUAGGGGGCUAGCGUUGUCCGGAAUCAUUGGGCGUAAAGCGCGUGUAGGCGGCCCGGUAAGUCCGCUGUGAAAGUCGGGGGCUCAACCCUCGGAAGCCGGUGGAUACUGUCGGGCUCGAGUACGGAAGAGGCGAGUGGAAUUCCUGGUGUAGCGGUGAAAUGCGCAGAUAUCAGGAGGAACACCAAUUGCGAAGGCAGCUCGCUGGGACGUAACUGACGCUGAGGAGCGAAAGCGUGGGGAGCGAACAGG
rnacentral:rRNA from 1 species